AAUUUUGGACAAUGGGGGAAACCCUGAUCCAGCCAUCCCGCGUGUAUGAUGAAGGCCNNNGGGUUNUCAAGUACUUUUGGCAGNGACNAAAAGGUACCUCCUAAUACGAGGUACUGCUGACGGUAUCUGCAGACUCAGCACCGGCUAACUACCCGCCACCCGCCCCGGUAAUACGUAGGGUGCAAGCGUUAAUCGGAAUUACUGGGCGUAAAGCGUGUGUAGGCGGUUCGGAAAGAAAGAUGUGAAAUCCCAGGGCUCAACCUUGGAACUGCAUUUUUAACUGCCGAGCUAGAGUAUGUCAGAGGGGGGUAGAAUUCCACGUGUAGCAGUGAAAUGCGUAGAUAUGUGGAGGAAUACCGAUGGCGAAGGCAGCCCCCUGGGAUAAUACUGACGCUCAGACACGAAAGCGUGGGGAGCAAAUA
rnacentral:rRNA from 1 species